UACGGGGGGGAGCAAGCGUUGUUCGGAUUUACUGGGCGUAAAGGGCGCGUAGGCGGCCUCCGCAAGUCAGUUGUGAAAUCUCCGAGCUUAACUCGGAAAGGUCAACUGAUACUGCGGGGCUAGAGUGCGGAAGGGGCAACUGGAAUUCUCGGUGUAGCGGUGAAAUGCGUAGAUAUCGGGAGGAACACCAGUGGCGAAGGCGACUACCUGGCCUGUUCUUGACGCUGGAGGCGCGAAAAGCUAGGGGAGCAAACAGG
rnacentral:rRNA from 1 species